rnacentral:rRNA from 1 species
AGUGAACGCUGGCGGUAGGCCUAACACAUGCAAGUCGAACGGCAGCACAGUAAGAGCUUGCUCUUACGGGUGGCGAGUGGCGGACGGGUGAGGAAUACAUCGGAAUCUACUUUUUCGUGGGGGAUAACGUAGGGAAACUUACGCUACUACCGCAUACGACCUACGGGUGAAAGCAGUGGAUCUUCGCACCUUGCGCGAUUGAAUGAGCCGAUGUCGGAUUAGCUAGUUGGCGGGGUAAAGGCCCACCAAGGCGACGAUCCGUAGCUGGUCUGAGAGGAUGAUCAGCCACACUGGAACUGAGACACGGUCCAGACUCCUACGGGAGGCAGCAGUAGGGAAUAUUGGACAAUGGGCGCAAGCCCGAUCCAGCCAUACCGCGUGGGUGAAGAAGGCCUUCGGGUUGUAAAGCCCUUUUGUUGGGAAAGAAAAGCGGCAGGUUAAUACCCCGCUGUUCUGACGGUACCCAAAGAAUAAGCACCGGCUAACUUCGUG